rnacentral:tRNA from 1 species
GGGCCGCUAGCUCAAUUGGCAGAGCAAGAGACUCUUAAUCUCUAGGUUCCAGGUUCGAGUCCUGGGCGGCUCACCA